UUAGAGUUUGAUCCUGGCUCAGGACGAACGCUGGCGGCGUGCUUAACACAUGCAAGUCGAACGGGGAUAGAUCGGGAGUAAUCCUGGUUUAUUCUAGUGGCGGACGGGUGCGUAACGCGUGAGCAAUCUGUCCUCAAGAGGGGGAUAACAACUGGAAACAGUUGCUAAUACCACAUGAGACCACGGUUCCGCAUGGAACAGGGGUUAAAGGAGAAAUCCGCUUGAGGGUGAGCUCGCGUCCCAUUAGAUAGUUGGUGAGGUAACGGCCCACCAAGUCUGCGAUGGGUAGCCGAUCUGAGAGGAUGACCGGCCACAUUGGAACUGAGAAACGGUCCAGACUCCUACGGGAGGCAGCAGUGGGGAAUAUUGGGCAAUGGGCGCAAGCCUGACCCAGCAACGCCGCGUGAGGGAAGAAGGUUUUCGGAUCGUAAACCUCUGUUGUAGGGGACGAGGAAAAGACGGUACCCUACGAGGAAGCUCCGGCUAACUACGUGCCAGCAGCCGCGGUAAUACGUAGGGAGCGAGCGUUGUCCGGAAUGACUGGGCGUAAAGGGCGCGUAGGCGGUUUUGUAAGUCUGGAGUGAAACCCCCGUUUUCAAGGCGGGGCCUGCUUUGGAGACUGCAGGACUUGAGUGAUGGAGAGGAUAGCGGAAUUCCCGGUGUAGCGGUGAAAUGCGUAGAGAUCGGGAGGAACACCAGUGGCGAAGGCGGCUAUCUGGACAUAGACUGACGCUGAGGCGCGAAAGCGUGGGGAGCAGACAGGAUUAGAUACCCUGGUAGUCCACGCCGUAAACGAUGAGUGCUAAGUAUCGGGGGAUUUCGGUGCUUAAGCUAACGCAGUAAGCACUCCGCCUGGGGAGUACGGUCGCAAGACUGAAACUCAAAGGAAUUGACGGGGACUCGCACAAGCGGUGGAGCAUGCGGUUUAAUUCGAUGCAACGCGAAGAACCUUACCAGGUCUUGACAGUGUAAAGAAUACUUAAGAGAUUAAGGGCUACGAAUUAAGCUUGCUUGAUUUACUUUAUAAACAGGUAGUGCAUGGUUGUCGUCAGCUCGUGUCGUGAGAUGUUGGGUUAAGUCCCGCAACGAGCGCAACCCUUAUCACUAGUUGCCAUCAUUAAGUUGGGCACUCUAGUGAGACUGCCGGUGACAAAUCGGAUGAAGGUGGGGAUGACGUCAAAUCAUCAUGCCCCUUAUGACCUGGGCUACACGCGUGCUACAAUGGCUAAUACAAAGAGUCGCAAAACCGUGAGGUAGAGCUAAUCUCAUAAAGUUAGUCUCAGUUCGGAUUGUAGUCUGCAACUCGACUGCAUGAAGUUGGAAUCGCUAGUAAUCGUAAAUCAGAAUGUUACGGUGAAUACGUUCUCGAGUCUUGCACACACCGCCCGUCA
rnacentral:rRNA from 1 species